CCCUCAUCUUCAUAUCUGGAUUCUUUCUCUUCAGCAGAACGAAGAUUUUGAAAGAAAAAUGCUUUCGCACCCAUCAUCAUUCUCUCCCCCUGUCGCCAAAACGCUGCUCAUCAUAAUCCUCAUCACCUUUUCACUUCCCAUAAUCUAUCUUUCACGCACGAGGCUUCUUCUCAUCUUCAGUUAGAUCAUUUUCAUACACCCGAGUUCUUCUCCGCCACUUUGAGUUCUACCCCUCCCCCUCUCUGUCGAGUUUGCACUCACCCACCCGCACCGCCACGAGUUCCGGUUUCGAAGGUUCCUCGCCAAUAAACCCUCCCGCUCUUCCAAUGGAACCGCCGCGGCAGAAUUACCUGCAGGAAUGAUUUCUCAUAAAUGGAUUGGACCAUUUUUUAAAGGUAUUCAAUUUUGUCGUUUCUUAUUUUCCAUUCUCAUUACUUCACUACAGUGUUGUUGUCUCUGGUGUUUUUUUUUCCAUUCUCAUCCUCAGGUUCUACCUAUAAGAUUUGAUGUAUUUUGGUGAAAGUAUUGCUCCUGUGUGUUUUUUUAUCCUAAUUAUAUUUUGUGUUUUUUCCCUCUUACUUUUAAACAGAUUAAAAUAGCAAGGAUGUUCAUCUCCAAAUCCAAACUUACCUGUCCUGUUCAAGCUAGUAAUUGUAUUUAAGAUUUUGUUUUUAAUUCUAAUUAGAUUCAGAUGUUUUUUUUUGCCCUUUCCUUUCUUUUGAUUCUGUUCAUUCUGAGUUGGGGAGUUAUUUUAGUUUCACGAGUUCUUAAGUUUUCCCAUGAUGAACUAAGAUUCUCUUCAUGGAAAGCUCAUGCUCUUUGAUGUUAUGUUUCAGGAACUACAGAUUUUACAAAUCAAUUCAUUUGUAAUAACUGGACAUGUGGCCGAUUCGAGGUGAGAAAAUGACACUGAGUUGAAAUUAUUUCAAUACCUUUUAAUUCUGUAAAUCUAAUCUGUCAUUGUAGAUUUAUGUGCCAUGAUAAGAAAAGUUUUUCUAGGAUUUGCAACAGAACUAGAGUUAUUACCUGUAAAAACUAUCAACUAUUGUCCUCAAGUCAUACUGCAAAUCUUUUGGCCCUUAUAAAGCCUUGCUUCUCAUUCCAACUACCUAUUUUUUUCCCUUUUUGUGAGUCUUUUAUGUUCUUUUGGCAUAGCUCUUUUGGUGAUUUUUUUACCUUAGAUCUCCAGUAAAUAUCUCUUCUUCCUUUAUCUGUUUACUUCAUGUUACUCCAUAUGUUUUGUUUUUGCAGCAAAAAGGGCAUGGAGAAGAAGUUGAUUGAAUAGGUAAGAAGAGUAAAGAAAUUGAGUGGAAAAGAUGAGGAUCACUUUCAUAGGCUAAAGGUCAUUGUACGUAAGUGGCUCCUCAAUACUAUUUUUGAAUAAAUUUGC
rnacentral:lncRNA from 1 species